CCUACGGGUGGCAGCAGUGGGGAAUAUUGCGCAAUGGGCGAAAGCCUGACGCAGCGACGCCGCGUGAGGGAUGAAGGUCUUCGGAUCGUAAACCUCUGUCAGCAGGGAAGAACGGUCACUGUGCUAAUCAGCAGAGAAUUGACGGUACCUGCAAAGGAAGCACCGGCUAACUACGUGCCAGCAGCCGCGGUAAUACGUAGGGAGCGAGCGUUGUCCGGAAUUACGGGGGGUAAAGGGAGCGUAGGCGGGCGAGAAAGUUGAAUGUUAAUUCUACCGGCUUAACUGGUAGCUGCGUUCAAAACUUCUUGUCUUGAGUGAAGGAGAGGCAGGCGGAAUUCCUAGUGUAGCGGUGAAAUGCGUAGAUAUUAGGAGGAACACCAGUGGCGAAGGCGGCCUGCUGGGCGUUAACUGACGCUGAGGCUCGAAAGCGUGGGGAGCAAACAGGAUUAGAUACCCGUGUAGUC
rnacentral:rRNA from 1 species